GAACGCUGGCGGAAUGCUUUACACAUGCAAGUCGGGCGGCAGCGCGGGGGCAACCCUGGCGGCGAGCGGCGAACGGGUGAGUAAUACAUCGGAACGUACCCAGUUGUGGGGGAUAGCCCGGCGAAAGCCGGAUUAAUACCGCAUACGACCUGAGGGUGAAAGUGGGGGACCGCAAGGCCUCACGCAAUUGGAGCGGCCGAUGGCGGAUUAGCUAGUUGGUGGGGUAAAGGCCUACCAAGGCGACGAUCCGUAGCUGGUCUGAGAGGAUGAUCAGCCACACUGGAACUGAGACACGGUCCAGACUCCUACGGGAGGCAGCAGUGGGGAAUUUUGGACAAUGGGCGCAAGCCUGAUCCAGCCAUUCCGCGUGAGUGAAGAAGGCCUUCGGGUUGUAAAGCUCUUUCGGCAGGGACGAAACGGUGGAGGCGAAUACCCUCUGCUAAUGACGGUACCUGAAGAAGAAGCACCGGCUAACUACGUGCCAGCAGCCGCGGUAAUACGUAGGGUGCGAGCGUUAAUCGGAAUUACUGGGCGUAAAGCGUGCGCAGGCGGCUUUAUAAGACAGAUGUGAAAUCCCUGGGCUCAACCUAGGAACUGCGUUUGUGACUGUAAAGCUGGAGUGCGGCAGA
rnacentral:rRNA from 1 species